UGCGUUGGUCGGUGUCGUUGGUCCGUUCUGUGCCUAGUUUACUAGAGAGAGGGACCCGUUCCUUGUUUCGGCAUGAAAGAGGAGAGGGGGAAGAUGAUUAUGGUCCGGUUCAAGUGUGACCAUGUGUUGUUUUUGCUCAACAUUGGCAGCCAUGCAACCAUGGAAGAAGGAAGGAUUUAGAGGAAAAAUCAAUCAAUCGAGCAUGAGUCAAGAGUCAUGUGUGGCCCGGGUGGAGUCAGUGGGGUGUACAAUUGCAAACCUCAUUUUAUGUUGAACUGCCAUUCUGGACUCAUUUUGCUUUCUCUCUCUGGCUGUAGAAACUUCACCCAUUGUAUAUUCUCUCCUAGUGGCGCAGCUGCUAUCCAUCCAUCCAUCCUCUUGAGUUAUCUGCCUUCCCUGGCUGGCCUGAUGGAGAGCAUACCAGCAGUCAGUUUGCUGAAUAAGAUGCUGUCUUCUCCAUUGCGAAAUCGUAUCCAUCCAUCCAUCCUCUUGAGUUAUCUGCCUUCCCUGGCUGGCCCGACGGGAAGAAACUAUACCAAAACUCAGUUUACCGAGUCUUUUUUUUUCCUUUUUCUGUUGUGAAAAUCGACUGUCUGCUAUUUGUUGGAGAGAGUUUAUGGGCAUUGGAAAAUUUUCUGCCAUAACAGUAAAAC
rnacentral:lncRNA from 1 species